CUUAUCCACAGGGGAUAUGUUCCAAGACCCCCAGUGGAUGCCUGAAACCAUAUAGUACCGAACUCUAUUUAUAAAUACUGUUUUUUCAUAUACAUACAUACCUAUGGUAAAGUUUAAUUUAUCAGUUAGACACAGCAAGAGAUUAACAACAAUAAAUAAUAAUAAAACAGAACAGUUAAUAUGGGGCCGGCCCUGUGGCCAAGUGGUUAAGUUCACGUGCUCCACUUGGGCGGUCCCGGGUUUCGCCGGUUCGGAUCCUGGGCGGGGACCUAGAAUGGUUCAUCACACCAUGCUGAGGUGGCAUCCCGCAUGCCACAACUAGAAGGACCUACAACUAGACCACACAACUAUGCACUGGGCGGGGGGCUUUGGGGAAAAGAAGAAAAAGAAAUAGAACAGUGAUAAGAAUAUACUGUAAUCAAAGUUACUGUAGAUCUCAGCAACCUUACCAUACAAUCUUCUUCUUUCCUUAAGUCAAGAACUUUCACCUUUUCACUUAAAGGAAGCACUUUAUGGCUUCUCUUUGGCAUAUCCGAAUUGCCAGCAUCACUACUCUUGCACUCUGGGACCAUUAUUAAAUAAAGUAAGCGUUACUUGAACACCAGCACUGCCACAUCCCAACAGUGAGUCUGGUAACCCAGAUGGCUAAGUGACUAAAGGGCGCCGCACAGAGUGUGGAUCCGCUGGACAAAGGGAUGAUUCGUGUUCCGGGUUGGACAGAGCAGGACGGUGAGAUACUUCAUCACACUACUCAGAACAGCGUGCAAUUUAAAACUUAUGAACUGUUUACUUCUGGAAUUUUCCAUUUAAUACUUUUGGACUGCAGAUGACUGUGGGUAGCCAAAACCGGGGAAAGUGAAAACGCAGAUAAGGGGAGACUACUGCAUAACUAAGUACAGCACCUCUGUGAGCCUAAGUUCCUUCUAUGUAAAAUGGGGACGCUUCGUAAGUGAAACUUAAAUAAGAAAAUUGAUAUUGCCUAGGGCCUGAUACAUUCUAAGUGCUCAUAAAAUGUCUGGAAUUAAUUCACAAUGCUAUGUCCCUCUUUCAUCAUACCCAGCCAAGGUCUCUCUCAUUUUUUCUGGAUAAACACUUUGGCAAAAUGGUUCUUUCCUCCCAGCCUUUUCGGGUCUGAGACACCCCUACCAAAACCGGAGUCUACUCAACAGGCCCAAAAGAGCCGAGAGGGAACGGAUAAGGCUUACACUGCAGCUGUCCAUCUCCUGCUGGGGCCCUGUUUCCAGGCAGCAGGGACCGCCCCUCAGCCAGCUGUGUGGACUUUUCAUCACUGGCUAUUUCAGGACAGAGUCCAAGAUAAGCACUUCUCUGGGGCUUCCUUUCAGACAAAGCUCUCCGGAGACUUGAAGCUCAUUAGCCUGACCUUUGGUCUCUGGAGAACAUGAGGAAAUAUCCUACUCUGAGAGAAUGGAAACACCAAGCGCCCAAGGGGCAGGCCUGAGCAACAAGACACAGAGCUAGAAAAGGAGGCAAAAUGAAGAGAGCGAGUCCCAGAGAGGUUGUAUGAUUCGUCCAAGGUCACACAGCCAGAGAGCUGCAGAGCUGGACUGAAGCCCAGGUCUGCUGAUUUCGAGUCCUGGGCUCCUCCCCAGAUUGAGAAGAAGAAAUGGCGAUUCUUCUUUACUAGCAUGAAAAACAGGAAAGUGAAGAGACUCACUGGCUGAGAACAGGGAGGAGCCUGAGAGAUCACUGAUCCUGCCUAAACCCGGACGAGCCUCUCCACGCAUCCUCGCUUUACUGGCCCUAUGCUGGUUCUUGAGGACACACUGAUGAGAAAACGGGCUUGGAGAGGUAAUAGCAGGUGGCGUUGGUACAUGCCUCAUUUCCCCAGUCCCUGCUCCGAGCUGCCUUGCCAGCGUGGUGGUUUCCAGCACACUGAGAGCCCCUCCAUUCAAG
ensembl:lncRNA